CCUAGCCCAAGAGAUCGGGAUAACACCUGGAAACAGAUGCUAAUACCGGAUAACAACAGAUGAUGCCUAUCAACUGUUUAAAAGAUGGUUCUGCUAUCACUCUUGGAUGGACCUGCGGUGCAUUAGCUAGUUGGUAGGGUAACGGCCUACCAAGGCGAUGAUGCAUAGCCGAGUUGAGAGACUGAUCGGCCACAUUGGGACUGAGACACGGCCCAAACUCCUACGGGAGGCAGCAGCG
rnacentral:rRNA from 1 species